AAGGAAAGGCUAUCAUAAAACUAAACCCUCGUCCCUUUCUUCCAUUCAACCACUACUCCCUAUUUUUGAAGAAAUACUCAACAAUUAUCCUUUUUCUUUUCUUUCAUUCAUUUUUGUUUAUCUUUUCUGUUUCUAUUUUUCAUUCCCUAGCUUUGCAAUUUCAAAUUUGAAUCUAAAGGGAUUUAAGGUGCAAUUGUAUGCUUCAAUUGAAUCAAACGCCUCCUUUCUUAUUUUUUUUUUCAAAUCCUUAAUUUCUAUUUUUUUUUUCCUUCCAUAAGUUAGAAGGAGUCAAUGAACCACAUGUGAAACAAGGUUUCAAUGAAUAGACAUCGAACAAAAGGAUGAAAUAAAUUGAUAUAUUGCCAUGGGGUGGAGAAGUAUAGCCUAUGAAAUAAAUCAACAUAUAAGAUAACGAGCUUCAUGAAAAAAUUGACAUGUGACAUACAUAGGGGUGGAGAAGAGGUUUAAGGAACAAUUUAACAGGAACUUAGCGGAAGUUGAUGUAAUGUAACUUUUGAUAAUUUAAAUAUAAUGUGAGUUGAGUUUCACAUUGGAUAGAAAAUUGUAUUUUAAACAUUUUAUAAGUGAGAAGACUCAUAAACUCAAUGUCUUGAAAUUUUAGGUUAAGAAAUGAUGUCAAACUCACUUAUGUGAUUGUUCAAAACUCAAUGUGAUGAUCCUCAGACCCCUCGUAACCCAACAAUACCCAAUUAAUUUGAAGAAGUCAAACUUAACAACCUCGCAAGAAAGGAAACUACCUAUCGCAAGAUACCUCAAGCGGUGGAUAGGUGGUAGCUUGGCUUAUUUUUCUUCAGAUUGAAUUAAACAGCAAACAAAUUGUGUGAACCAUAUUAAUUAGUCUUAAAGAAUUAUUGUACCAUUAGUUUAAAAAAAUGUUAACAUUUAUCUUUAGAGCAUAUGUUAAGAAUUCUUGGUGUAAUCAACUUUAUUAACAUUAAAAUU
rnacentral:lncRNA from 1 species